GCCGUGGCUCAAUGGUAGAGCAUCUGUCUUGCAUGCAAAACAUCCCAGGUUCAAUCUCCACCAUCUGCA